rnacentral:rRNA from 1 species
GAUGAACGCUGGCGGCGUGCCUAAUACAUGCAAGUCGAGCGAACAGACGAGGAGCUUGCUCCUCUGACGUUAGCGGCGGACGGGUGAGUAACACGUGGAUAACCUACCUAUAAGACUGGGAUAACUUCGGGAAACCGGAGCUAAUACCGGAUAAUAUAUUGAACCGCAUGGUUCAAUAGUGAAAGACGGUUUUGCUGUCACUUAUAGAUGGAUCCGCGCCGCAUUAGCUAGUUGGUAAGGUAACGGCUUACCAAGGCAACGAUGCGUAGCCGACCUGGGAGGGUGAUCGGCCACACUGGAACUGAGACACGGUCCAGACUCCUAAGGGAGGCAGCAGUAGGGAAUCUUCCGCAAUGGGCGAAAGCCUGACGGAGCAACGCCGCGUGAGUGAUGAAGGUCUUCGGAUCGUAAAACUCUGUUAUUAGGGAAGAACAAAUGUGUAAGUAACUAUGCACGUCUUGACGGUACCUAAUCAGAAAGCCACGGCUAACUACGUG